rnacentral:sRNA from 1 species
AGGAAACAGUGUAUAGAGAAUAUGUCUUAUAUUCCAAGAUGUGGAAAGAGUUGUAUGUUAUCCUUUGGCUCAUCCUCGAAAGUAGUAGUGGCCCCCUGUGCAAUGUGUUGCGUAAACGUGCUUUGAAAUUUCUCCUUCCGUGGGACGUGGCCAGUUGGACAUCUGCCGCCAACACUGAUGUGCAUUUGCUGGUCUGUUGUAGGGUCUGAGUGCCCGGACCGCUUGGCUAUGGACUUUGGUGGGGCUGGUGCCGCCCAGCAAGGGCUGACUGACAGCUGCCAGUCUGGAGGCGUUCCCACAGCUGUGCAGAACUUAGCGCCACGCGCUGCUGUUGCCGCUGCUGCUCCCCGGGCUGUUGCCCCCUACAAGUACGCCUCCAGUGUCCGCAGCCCUCAUCCUGCCAUACAGCCUCUGCAGGCACCCCAGCCUGCGGUCCAUGUGCAGGGGCAG